rnacentral:rRNA from 1 species
ACUCAAAGGAAUUGACGGGGGCCCGCACAAGCAGCGGAGCGUGUGGUUUAAUUCGACGCAACGCGCAGAACCUUACCAGGGCUUGACAGCCACGGGACCCGCCUGAAAGGGCGGGGUGCCCUUCGGGGAGCCGUGAGACAGGUGCUGCAUGGCUGUCGUCAGCUCGUGUCGUGAGAUGUUGGGUUAAGUCCCGCAACGAGCGCAACCCUCGUGGUCAGUUACGAUCGUGUCUGGCCAGACUGCCGCGCGCAACGCGGAGGAAGGGGGGGAUGACGUCAAGUCAGCAUGGCCCUGACGCCCUGGGCGACACACACGCUACAAUGGCCGGGACAACGGGCAGCCAAGCGGUAACGCGGAGCCAAUCCCACAAACCCGGUCUCAGUUCGGAUUGGGGGCUGCAACUCGCCCCCAUGAAGGCGGAGUUGCUAGUAACCGCCGGUCAGCCAUACGGCGGUGAAUCUGUUCCCGGGCCUUGCACACACCGCCCGU